rnacentral:rRNA from 1 species
AUACGUAGGGGGCGAGCGUUGUCCGGAAUGAUUGGGCGUAAAGGGCGCGUAGGCGGCCCGGUAAGUCUGGAGUGAAAGUCCUGUUUUUAAGAUGGGAAUUGCUUUGGAUACUGUCGGGCUUGAGUGCAGGAGAGGUAAGUGGAAUUCCCAGUGUAGCGGUGAAAUGCGUAGAGAUUGGGAGGAACACCAGUGGCGAAGGCGACUUACUGGACUGUAACUGACGCUGAGUCGCGAAAGUGUGGGGAGCAAACAGGAUUAGAUACCCUGGUAGUCCACACUGUAAACGAUGAAUGCUAGGUGUAGGGGGUAUCGACCCCUUCUGUGCCGCAGUCAACACAAUAAGCAUUCCGCCUGGGGAGUACGGCCGCAAGGUUGAAACUUAAAGGAAUUGACGGGG